AUUGAACGCUGGCGGCAGGCCUAACACAUGCAAGUCGAACGGUAACAGGAAGAAGCUUGCUUCUUUGCUGACGAGUGGCGGACGGGUGAGUAAUGUCUGGGAAACUGCCUGAUGGAGGGGGAUACCUACUGGAAACGGUAGCUAGUACCGCAUAACGUCGCAAGACCAAAGAGGGGGACCUUCGGGCCUCUUGCCAUCGGAUGUGCCCAGAUGGGAUUAGCUAGUAGGUGGGGUAACGGCUCACCUAGGCGACGAUCCCUAGCUGGUCUGAGAGGAUGACCAGCCACACUGGAACUGAGACACGGUCCAGACUCCUACGGGAGGCAGCAGUGGGGAAUAUUGCACAAUGGGCGCAAGCCUGAUGCAGCCAUGCCGCGUGUAUGAAGAAGGCCUUCGGGUUGUAAAGUACUUUCAGCGGGGAGGAAGGGAGUAAAGUUAAUACCUUUGCUCAUUGACGUUACCCGCAGAAGAAGCACCGGCUAACUCCGUG
rnacentral:rRNA from 1 species